AAAAAGGCUCUUUUCAGAGCCAUCCACAGUGUCUUUUAAAGAACUG
rfam:Mus musculus chromosome 13, GRC primary reference assembly.